rnacentral:rRNA from 1 species
UACGUAGGGUGCAAGCGUUAUCCGGAAUUAUUGGGCGUAAAGAGCUCGUAGGCGGUUUGUUGCGUCGGCUGUGAAAUCCCGAGGCUCAACCUCGGGUCUGCAGUCGAUACGAGCAAACUAGAGUGUUGCAGGGGAGACUGGAAUUCCUGGUGUAGCGGUGAAAUGCGCAGAUAUCAGGAGGAACACCCGUGGCGAAGGCGGUUCUCUGGGACGGUACUGACGCUGAGACGCGAAAGCGUGGGGAGCGAACAGG